AUUGAACGCUGGCGGCAUGCCUUACACAUGCAAGUCGAACGGUAACGGGCCUUCGGGUGCCGACGAGUGGCGAACGGGUGAGUAAUGUAUCGGAACGUACCUUUCAGUGGGGGAUAACGUAGCGAAAGUUACGCUAAUACCGCAUACUCUGUGUGCAGGAAAGCAGGGGAUCGCCAGACCUUGCGCUGAUUGAGCGGCCGAAAUCAGAUUAGCUAGUUGGUGAGGUAAAGGCUCACCAAGGCGACGAUCUGUAGCGGGUCUGAGAGGAUGAUCCGCCACACUGGAACUGAGACACGGUCCAGACUCCUACGGGAGGCAGCAGUGGGGAAUUUUGGACAAUGGGGGCAACCCUGAUCCAGCCAUGCCGCGUGAGUGAAGAAGGCCUUCGGGUUGUAAAGCUCUUUCGGCCGGGAAGAAAUCGUAUCAGCUAAUACCUGAUGCGGAUGACGGUACCGGCAUAAGAAGCACCGGCUAACUACGUGCCAGCCGCCGCGGUAAUAC
rnacentral:rRNA from 1 species